rfam:Eubacterium sp. CAG:38 genomic scaffold, scf43
AGCAGAGUAGGACUGUGCGCGUUAAGUGCCGGAUGAACAGGGAGUUGUCAUCCGGACGAAAAGAAAGAUCUUGCGGUGCACAAUCCGCAUCCCGCUGCU